rnacentral:tRNA from 1 species
UGUCAAGGGAUGGUAAUCGAACCCACGAACCUCCGCUUACCGGGCAGAUGCCAUGACCACUAGGCUACCCUGAAC